AGAAUGUGGGAGGGUUGACGUUGGCAAUUCAAGACUGUCUUUCCUACUGUCUUCAGUUAGUCUUAAUAGGAUGUUAAAACCAGUUUCACAUCCAAAAUCAUACUUUCCAGAAAAGGAAACUAAGAUCCAAAGAUGUUAUUGACCUGCUCAAGACCCCACAUAUAUGUAGAAGCAAUGUCAGGACUAGAAGUUGGUUGCUUGAUUUUAUGUCACUGCUUUCUCUGACAUAUAAUAAAAUUUAUGUUUUAUCCUUUA